rnacentral:rRNA from 1 species
GUAGGGAAUAUUGGGCAAUGGAGGCAACUCUGACCCAGCCAUGCCGCGUGCAGGAUGACGGCCCUCUGGGUUGUAAACUGCUUUUAUACGGGAAGAAAAAAUACUACGUGUAGUAUACUGACGGUACCGUAAGAAUAAGGAUCGGCUAACUCCGUGCCAGCAGCCGCGGUAAUACGGAGGAUCCAAGCGUUAUCCGGAUUUAUUGGGUUUAAAGGGUGCGUAGGCGGAUCUUUAAGUCAGGGGUGAAAGCCUGCAGCUUAACUUUAGAAUUGCCAUUGAAACUGAAGAUCUUGAAUGUGGUUAAAGUAGGCGGAAUGUAUCAUGUAGCGGUGAAAUGCUUAGAUAUGAUACAGAACACCGAUAGCGAAGGCAGCUUGCUGAACCAUUAUUGACGCUGAGGCACGAAAGCGUGGGGAGCGAACAGGAUUAGAAACCCCUGUAAUCC